rnacentral:misc_RNA from 1 species
UUAGGCCGUGCACGCUUUGGCCUUUUGUUCUAAGAGACGAUGUUUUCACAACAAACGUGACUAAUCUGUUAAUCUCCUAUGACAAUUUAAUUACGUUGUUUUAAUAAAGUCACAUUAAUUUGCACUAACACGAUUAUCACCUUGUGAUUCAGAUCACAACGAGAGGUAUUUUGGCGCCUUUUUCAAAAUGGCGGCUCUCACAUGUUGUCACUUGCAACACUUCGUUCGUCUGCAUUGAAGAAUAUUCAGCGAAAUCUGGUCUCCUGAGGACACUAGACAUGAACUUUUCUGAGCUGUUUAGACAAUCACAUCAUCUGUGCAAAUUUUCGCCUGAUGGCAAAUACUUGGCAUCAGCCACAGACUACAGGCUCGUGAUUCGAGAUGUUGAAACAUUGCAAAUACAACAUCUGUAUUCCUGUCUUGAUGGCAUCCAGUGCAUUGAGUGGUCAGCUGAUUCUGAUUUCAUCCUCUGUGGAAUGUUUAAGAGAGGCAUUGUGCAGGUAUGGUCCAUAGAACAGCCAGAAUGGAACUGUAAGAUUGAUGAGGGCUCGGCAGGGCUGAGUGCUGUACGAUGGAGCCCUGAUGGUCGACAUAUCCUCACAACAGCUGAUUUUAAUCUUCGAAUCACAGUCUGGUCUCUCGUUACCAAGUCUGUGUCCUACAUCCGAUAUCCAAAGCAAUGUGAAAAAGGCAUUGACUUCAGCUCUGGUGGGAAGUACAUGGCCCUGGCCGAGAGACGAGACUGCAAGGACUACGUCAGCAUCUUUGCCUGUAGCACCUGGGAGCUGGUCAAGCAUUUUGAUACGGACACAGAAGAUCUGGCGGGGCUGAAGUGGUCCCCAGAUGGGCGGGUCCUGGGAGUGUGGGAGUCACCAGUCAAUUACAAGAUGCUGAUCUACUCCCUGGAUGGGCGUUGCCUGGCAACCUACACAGCGUAUGACUUUGCACUUGGCAUCAAGAACAUUGCAUGGUCACUGUCCAGUCAGUUCCUCGCCAUCGGCAGUUUCGAUGAAAAGGUGCGGAUUCUCAAUCACAUCACCUGGAAGAAGGUGGCGGAGUUCUCCCAUCCCUCCACAGUCGAGAACAACAAUGUUGUCGUGUAUAAAGAGGUUGAGACGCGGGCUCCCAUUCCAUCAGCAGAGUUACCCGCCCCUACUACAACACUGUUCACCGCACAGAGUAAAUACGAUGUUGAGGCAACACCAGCCAAACUACCUGUUGUGAAACCAGCCUCCAACAAGGCCAACCCCAAGCUGGGUGUGGGAACGGUGGCGUUCAGUCAUGACUGUAAAUACAUGUAUACCAAAAAUGACAACAUGCCGAACGCGCUGUGGAUCUGGGAUGUUCAGAAACUCACACUGUCUGCCGUUCUGGUUCAAGCAGCACCCAUCAAGUGUGUGCAGUGGGACAGCAGCCAGACCCGACUAGCUCUGUGUACGUCUACCAACAAGCUGUACAUGUGGUCAGCCAGUGGAUGCUUGUCUGUGGAGAUUCCUGCUGAAGGUAGGUAGACACGGCAGUCAGACCGACUAGCUCUGUGUACGUCUACCAACAAGCUGUACAUGUGGUCAGCCAGUGGAUGCUUGUCUGUGGAGAUUCCUGCUGAAGGUAGGUAGACACGGCAGCCAGACCCGACUAGCUCUGUGUACGUCUACCAACAAGCUGUACAUGUGGUCAGCCAGUGGAUGCUUGUCUGUGGAGAUUCCUGCUGAAGCCUCGUUCCAGGUGAGCUCCUUACAGUGGCACAAGGAAGGCAAAGCCCUGCUGCUAAUGGGGAAGG